AUUACUUGAUCGAUCGUUCCGAUUAGUCCGAUGUACUCGGUCUUCGCGACAAAGUAAGAACAAUGAACAAUAGAGAAAAAUGAGUAUACAAAGAAUCGACCACAUCCGAGUGGUGAAAAGACAGAUACUCAUCCUUCUCUGGGGGGGAAGAAGAGAGAACAUAUUUAUACGUGUUGGUUGCUAUUUUGCGCAUGUGGUAUCUUCGGUGGUAUCUGUGACAGUAUCUUCAGUGGUUUUUCUAUGGUUUUGUGAUUGUUGUUUUGCGGUUCUUCUUCUACUACUGUUCUUUUGUUGUCGUGUCCAUUGCCAAACCUAGUUCUCCAAUCUGAGAAAACUCCUGUGUGACUACUUUUGAAAUUCUACAGUAAAUAAGGAC
rnacentral:lncRNA from 1 species